rnacentral:rRNA from 1 species
UACGUAGGGGGCAAGCGUUGUCCGGAUUUACUGGGCGUAAAGAGCGUGUAGGCGGCCAAACAGGUCCGUUGUGAAAACUGGAGGCUCAACUUCCAGCCGUCGACGGAAACCGUGUGGCUAGAGUCCGGAAGAGGAGAGUGGAAUUCCUGGUGUAGCGGUGAAAUGCGCAGAUAUCAGGAAGAACACCAAUGGCGAAGGCAGCUCUCUGGGACGGUACUGACGCUGAGACGCGAAAGCGUGGGGAGCGAACAGG